rnacentral:rRNA from 1 species
UACAGAGGUGGCAAGCGUUGUUCGGAAUUACUGGGCGUAAAGGGCGCGUAGGCGGCCUUCUAAGUCAGACGUGAAAUCCCCAGGCUUAACUUGGGAACUGCGUCUGAUACUGGGAGGCUUGAAUGCGGGAGAGGGAUGUGGAAUUCCAGGUGUAGCGGUGAAAUGCGUAGAUAUCUGGAGGAACACCGGUGGCGAAGGCGGGUCUCUGGGCCGAUACUGACGCUGAGGAGCGAAAGCGUGGGGAGCGAACAGG